UACGGGGGGGGCAAGCGUUGUUCGGAAUUACUGGGCGUAAAGGGCUCGUAGGCGGCCAACUAAGUCAGACGUGAAAUCCCUCGGCUUAACCGGGGAACUGCGUCUGAUACUGGAUGGCUUGAGGUUGGGAGAGGGAUGCGGAAUUCCAGGUGUCGCGGUGAAAUGCGUAGAUAUCUGGAGGAACACCGGUGGCGAAGGCGGCAUCCUGGACCAAUUCUGACGCUGAGGAGCGAAAGCCAGGGGAGCAAACGGG
rnacentral:rRNA from 1 species